rnacentral:tRNA from 1 species
GCUCAGUUGGUAGAGUACAAAGCUCUUAACCUUAUGGACAUGGGUUCGAGCCCCAU